UUACAUGUGGCAAAGUAUGGUGUCCCAUCCUCGGAAUUUGUGCUCUGCAUUGAGUAGUGAACACACACACAACUGUGAGUAGUGAACACACACAUACACA